UAUAAAGUAAACUCAAGUACACACUUUUAAGAAAAUUUCAAAAUCUUUUCUAAAUUAUUUUUAAAAUUAUGUUAAUUAGGUGAUGUUUGAAGAAUCCUCACCCAACAAUCCAUAGCUUUGCACUAACAACUUUUAAGUGUCGAAGCUAAUACCAGCAUUUGGCCAAAAGGUCGCACACGCAAACGAGCGCGCGCCAAUCCUUAGAGGGUGAAACUCAGAUCCAGAGUGAGGGUGACACGCGCGCAACAAGAGAGGAACCCUCGAAGAAGAAGAAAAAGUGGUGGGAAAUUCCAAUGUUCGCAUUCGGACCCCUAUUCGAUCGUCUGACGUGUGAUAUUUCCAAUUGGACUGGUGUUUAUUAUAAGGGAUUCCAUCUGACCAAAGCAAAUCGACAGCAAAACAUUUGUGGACAUGCAGGCAGGUGAUCGAAAACAUUUGGACAAUUAAAAUAAUAGAGUGCAAAUGAGCUGACAAAAUCCAGAACUGUUUUGUUUAUGUAAUAAAUU